GACAUUUUUUUUUAACAUCAACAACUUCUUAGUCCCUCCCCCUCUUUCUGCUGAAGCCCAAAACAGUCUCCUAAGCCCUUCAGACUUUC